rnacentral:pre_miRNA from 1 species
AGUGCAAUUGCUGGGUCAUGGGGUAGUUCUAUGUUUAAUUUUUUGAGGAACAUCCAUGCUGUUUUCCAGAAUGGCUGACCCAGUUUGCAUUCCCACCAGCAGU